rnacentral:tRNA from 1 species
GCGAGAGUGGCGGAACUGGCAGACGCGCACGUUUGAGGGGCGUGUGACAAUAGUCAUGUGGGUUCAAUUCCCACCUCUCGCACCA